rnacentral:rRNA from 1 species
GUAGGUGGCAAGCGUUGUCCGGAAUUAUUGGGCGUAAAGCGCGCGCAGGCGGUUCUUUAAGUCUGAUGUGAAAGCCCACGGCUCAACCGUGGAGGGUCAUUGGAAACUGGAGAACUUGAGUACAGAAGAGGAAAGCGGAAUUCCACGUGUAGCGGUGAAAUGCGUAGAGAUGUGGAGGAACACCAGUGGCGAAGGCGGCUUUCUGGUCUGUAACUGACGCUGAGGCGCGAAAGCGUGGGGGAGCAAACAGGAUUAGAUACCCUGGUAGUCCACGCCGUAAACGAUGAGUGCUAAGUGUUAGGGGGUUUCCGCCCCUUAGUGCUGCAGCUAACGCAUUAAGCACUCCCGCCUGGGGAGUACGGCCGCAAGGCUGA